UGGGGAAUAUUGGACAAUGGGGGAAACCCUGAUCCAGCAAUGCCGCGUGUGUGAAGAAGGCCUGCGGGUUGUAAAGCACUUUCAGUAGGGAAGAUAGUGACGGUACCUACAGAAGAAGCACCGGCUAACUCCGUGCCAGCAGCCGCGGUAAUACGGAGGGUGCGAGCGUUAAUCGGAAUUACUGGGCGUAAAGCGCACGUAGGUGGUUUGGUAAGUCGGAUGUGAAAUCCCCGGGCUUAACCUGGGAAUUGCAUUCGAUACUGCCUCACUAGAGUCUAGCAGAGGGAUGCGGAAUUCCGGGUGUAGCGGUGAAAUGCGUAGAGAUCCGGAGGAACAUCAGUGGCGAAGGCGGCAUCCUGGGCUAAGACUGACACUGAGGUGCGAAAGCGUGGGGAGCAAACAGGAUUAGAUACCCCCGUAGUCC
rnacentral:rRNA from 1 species